CCGCGGGAUUAGAGUUUGAUCCUGGCUCAGAGCGAACGCUGGCGGCAGGCCUAAUACAUGCAAGUCGAACGGAUCCUUCGGGAUUAGUGGCGGACGGGUGAGUAACACGUGGGAACGUGCCCUUUGGUUCGGAACAACUCAGGGAAACUUGAGCUAAUACCGGAUGUGCCCUUCGGGGGAAAGAUUUAUCGCCAUUGGAGCGGCCCGCGUCUGAUUAGCUAGUUGGUGGGGUAAAGGCCUACCAAGGCUACGAUCAGUAGCUGGUCUGAGAGGAUGAUCAGCCACACUGGGACUGAGACACGGCCCAGACUCCUACGGGAGGCAGCAGUAGGGAAUCUUGCGCAAUGGGCGAAAGCCUGACGCAGCCAUGCCGCGUGAAUGGUGAAGGUCUUAGGAUUGUAAAAUUCUUUCAGCGGGGACGAUAAUGACGGUACCCGCAGAAGAAGCCCCGGCUAACUUCGUGCCAGCAGCCGCGGUAAUACGAAGGGGGCUAGCGUUGCUCGGAAUUACUGGGCGUAAAGGGCGCGUAGGCGGAUGUUUAAGUCAGAGGUGAAAGCCCAGGGCUCAACCUUGGAACUGCCUUUGAUACUGGACAUCUUGAGUACGGGAGAGGUGAGUGGAACUCCGAGUGUAGAGGUGAAAUUCGUAGAUAUUCGGAAGAACACCAGUGGCGAAGGCGACUCACUGGCCCGUUACUGACGCUGAGGCGCGAAAGCGUGGGGAGCAA
rnacentral:rRNA from 1 species